UCAUCCUCUGCUAAAUACAGUGCAUUCAUCCUGUUCCAUGUGCAGAAAAAGCCCCCAUAGCAUGAUGCUACCACCUCCAUUCUUUUUCCUCCAAACACGACAAGUGGAAUUAAGACCAAAAAGUUCUAUUUUGGUCUCAUCUGAUCACAUGAUUUUCUCCCAUGAUUCCCCUGGAUCAUCCAAACGGCCAAACUUAAGGACAUGUGCUGGAGAACCUUCCGGAAAACCAGCAGUAACCAUGGAAACGGCGGUCCCAGCUCUUUUCAGGUAAUUGAGCGGCUCCUCUCAUGUAGUUCUGGGCUGAAUCCUCACCUCUAACGGGAUCAGUGAGACCACUAGAAUGUCCCUCAUGUGACAAACGCAGCAGGUGGAAGAUUCUGAAAGCGACUGUUUCUGCUUUUGCCAUCACAAAUAGAACCGGUAAUGUAUGAAAAAAAAUGUUUUUCCUUCUUAUGCUGCAGUUUUUAGGCUCUAAACUCAUCAAACACUAGGCUUGAUUUCUGGUAUCAACCAGUUUGGUGUAGUCAAAUGUCAUUUCCUGUUUGCUGAACACCCUCGUCCAGGCUCACUCUUGCUUUCCCACAGAUUUAUUUUGCACGCGAUGGGGAAAUUCUCAGGGUUUCAGUCUUCAGCGGCUCCUCAGGCCCCAGCACUCAUCUCAGUCUCACACCAUCAGAGGCCUCACUUGGUGAGGUGUCAUACACGCCGAGCGAAGGAAGGGGUUUUUUUUCCUUCUAUCGUGCUUCGCCACAAUGCAGUACACCCAGCAGCCUCAGACUCAUGAAGCGUUUACCGGCAUGCCUGCAGAGCGUUUUACUGUGGAAGAGUUGAAAAGAGCAGAAGUAAAACCAAAACUUUAGGUAGUGGUGAAAACAGAAGCAGGAAGUGAAAACAAAAAACAAACAGCAGCUCUGAUAACACUUGAAUCAACUUUAUUGCCAGAAUCGACUCCAAAUAUAUGAACUUAGAAACGUUCAACUUUAGAAGGUAACUUUGACAAAAGAAAAAGUUCAACAAGUAUUGAGUGAUCUCCUAAAAGCAACAGGUUUUCAAAUAUAUACACAGAUGAUAAUAAUCCUUAGAUUUAAUCACAAGAUUAAGUGCUUCAUUCCCUAAAACUACUAGAUUAAUGGCAAAUUUGGAGACUACAUUUACAGACGUGUGAGCUUCUAAAGAAACAUUAGCACCUCACGUUAUGGUUUCAUUCAGCCCGGCGCCCCAUCACGCCGUUUCUAAGGGUUACCGUGAGCUUAAAGGCAUUUAUGUACAUAAAGCAAAGAUACAAUCCGUCCCCCUUACUUUUUUAUCAGUUUCUACUUUCAGAGUUGCAUUGAUCGUGUCGUGUGUGUUAAAUUAAAAAAAAAAAAA